AUGAUAAUAAAAAUAAUAAUUGGCUACAACCCUGACACAGUAGCAUUUGUGCCAAUGUCUGGCUGGAAUGGUGACAUGUUGGAGCCAAGUGCUAACAUGCCUUGGUUCAAGCGAUGGAAAGUCACCUGUAAAGAUGGCAAUGGCAGUGGGACCACACUGCCUGAAGCUCUGGGUUGCAUUCUGACACCAACUCGUCCAACUGACAAGCCCUUGCAUCUGCCUCUCCAGGAUGUCUACAAAAUUGGUGGUAUUGGCACCGUCCCUGUGGGCCGAGUCGAGACUGGUAUUCUCAAACCCCGUAUGGUGGUCACCUUUGCUCCAGUCAAUGUUACAACUGAAGUAAAGUCCAUUGAAAUGCACCAUGAAGCUUUGAGUGAAGCUCUUCCAGGGGACAACAUGGGCUUCAACGCCAAGAAUGUGUCUGUCAAAGAUGUUCGUCGUGGCAACGUUGCUGGUGACAGCAAAAAUGACCCACCAAUGGAAGCAGCAGGCUUCACUGCUCAGGUGAUUAUCCUGAACCAUCCAGGCCAAAUUAGCGCUGGCUAUGCUCCUGUACUGGAUUGUCACAUUGCUCACAUUGCCUGCAAGUUUGCUGAGCUGAAGGAAAAAAGUGAUCGCCGCUCUGGAAAGAAGCUGGAGGAUGGUCCUAAUUCUUGAAGUCUGGUGAUGCCGCCAUUGUCUAUAUGGUUCCAGGCAAGCCCAUGUCUGUGGAGAGCUUCUCAGACUAUUCUCCUCUGGGUUGUUUUGCUGUUCGUGAUAUGAGACAGACAGUUGCUGUGGGUGUCAUCAAAGCAGUGGACAAGAAGGCUACUGGAGCUGGCAAGAUCACCAAAUCUACCCCGAAAGAUCAGAAGGCUAAAUGA